UGGGGAAUAUUGCACAAUGGGCGCAAGCCUGAUGCAGCCAUGCCGCGUGUAUGAAGAAGGCCUUCGGGUUGUAAAGUACUUUCAGCGGGGAGGAAGGGAGUAAAGUUAAUACCUUUGCUCAUUGACGUUACCCGCAGAAGAAGCACCGGCUAACUCCGUGCCAGCAGCCGCGGUAAUACGGAGGGUGCAAGCGUUAAUCGGAAUUACUGGGCGUAAAGCGCACGCAGGCGGUUUGUUAAGUCAGAUGUGAAAUCCCCGGGCUCAACCUGGGAACUGCAUCUGAUACUGGCAAGCUUGAGUCUCGUAGAGGGGGGUAGAAUUCCAGGUGUAGCGGUGAAAUGCGUAGAGAUCUGGAGGAAUACCGGUGGCGAAGGCGGCCUCCUGGACGAAGACUGACGCUCAGGUGCGAAAGCGUAGGGAGCAAACAGG
rnacentral:rRNA from 1 species